UACGUAGGGGGCGAGCGUUGUCCGAAGUUACUGGGCGUAAAGCGCGCGUAGGCGGUCUGUCACGUCGGCUGUGAAAUCCCGAGGCUCAACCUCGGGUCUGCAGUCGAUACGGGCAAACUAGAGUAUUGCAGGGGAGACUGGAAUUCCUGGUGUAGCGGUGAAAUGCGCAGAUAUCAGGAGGAACACCGGUGGCGAAGGCGGGUCUCUGGGCAAUAACUGACGCUGAGGAGCGAAAGCGUGGGGAGCGAACAGG
rnacentral:rRNA from 1 species